GAUGAAGAACGUAGCGAAAUGCGAUAAGUAAUGUGAAUUGCAGAAUUCAGUGAAUCAUCGAAUCUUUGAACGCACCUUGCGCUCCUUGGUAUUCCGAGGAGCAUGCCUGUUUGAGUGUCAUUAAUAUAUCACCCUUCUCUUUUUUGAGUUGUUUGGAUGUGGGGGUUUGCUGGCCUCUUAAAUGAUUCAGCUCCCCUGAAAUGCAUUAGCAGAACAACCUGUUCAUUAGCGUGAUAAUUAUCUAUGCUAUUGAAUGUGAGGGCAGUUCAGCUUUCUAACCGUCCUUGGACAAUUCAUCAUUAAUGUGACCUCAAAUCAGGUAGGACUACCCGCUGAACUUAAGCAUAUCAAUAAGCGGAGGA
rnacentral:misc_RNA from 1 species